rnacentral:lncRNA from 1 species
UCACGUCUCCUUUCUUUGCAUCUUUAACCUAGCCGCCCUAAAAUCAGUAUCUACCAUGGUUGCCCCCUAACACCUCCAAACAACCCCAAAUUCCUCUUUCACAAUCCCCACACUCCCUUGAACAUUAGUCUAGCGUUGACAUUCCCAAAAUCUUUACCUUUUUCAUUAAUCCCAUAUCUACAUUGAAACCCUAUGCCCAUUUCUUUCUCUGAGUUGUCAUGCAAAUUUGGUCCAUGUUAACCCAAAACCAAUAUCAAUCGACUGUUCUUCAUGAGAGCAAUUGAUUGAUGUUAGUUUCAGCUUAUUUUUCGCACUACCAAGAGUUGUCCGAGUUUGCAACUGGCUGGUUCA